rnacentral:rRNA from 1 species
GCGCACCAGGCGAGAAUUUUUCUCAAUGGGCGAAAGCCUGAAGGAGCGACGCCGCGUGGAGGAUGAAGGCUUUCGGGUCGUAAACUCCUGUCAUUUGAGAACAAGUGUAGCCAAAUAACUACUGGCUACUUGAUAGUAUCAGAAGAGGAAGGGACGGCUAACUCUGUGCCAGCAGCCGCGGUAAUACAGAGGUCCCAAGCGUUGUUCGGAUUCAUUGGGCGUAAAGGGUGCGUAGGUGGCGCCGUAAGUGGGGUGUGAAAUUUCGGAGCUUAACUCCGAAACUGCAUUCCAUACUGCGGUGCUUGAGGACUGGAGAGGAGACUGGAAUUCAUGGUGUAGCAGUGAAAUGCGUAGAGAUCAUGAGGAAGACCAGUGGCGAAGGCGGGUCUCUGGACAGUUCCUGACACUGAGGCACGAAGGCUAGGGGAGCGAACGGGAUUAGAUACCCCCGUAGU